rnacentral:rRNA from 1 species
CAGUAGCCGCGGUAAUACAGAGGGUGCAAGCGUUAAUCGGAAUUACUGGGCGUAAAGCGCGCGUAGGUGGUUUGUUAAGUUGAAUGUGAAAUCCCCGGGCUCAACCUGGGAACUGCAUCCAAAACUGGCAAGCUAGAGUAGGGCAGAGGGUGGUGGAAUUUCCUGUGUAGCGGUGAAAUGCGUAGAUAUAGGAAGGAACACCAGUGGCGAAGGCGACCACCUGGGCUCAUACUGACACUGAGGUGCGAAAGCGUGGGUAGCAAACAGGAUUAGAUACCCGCGUAGUCCCUGUCUCUUAUAU